rnacentral:rRNA from 1 species
AUUGAACGCUGGCGGCAGGCCUAACACAUGCAAGUCGAACGAGUGGCGGACGGGUGAGUAAUGUCUGGGAAACUGCCUGAUGGAGGGGGAUAACUACUGGAAAAGGUAGCUAAUAACGCAUUCCAUCGUAUGUCCCCAGAUGGGCUUAGCUAGUAGGUGGAGUAAAGACUCACCUAGGCGACGAUCCCUAGCUGGUGUGAGAGGAUGCUCAGCCAGACUGGAACUGAGACACGGUCCAGACUCCGACGGGAGGCAGCAGUGGGGAAUAUUGCACAAUGGGCGCAAGCCUGAUGCAGCCAUGCCGCGUGUAUGAAGAAGGCCUUCGGGGUGUAAAGUACUUUCAGCGGGGAUGCGUUACCCGCAGAAGAAGCACCGGCGAACGCCGUGCCAGCAGCCGCGGUAAUUC